UACGUAGGUGGCAAGCGUUGUCCGGAUUUACUGGGCGUAAAGAGCGCGCAGGUGGUCCGUCGCGUCGUGCGUGAAAGCCCCCGGCUCAACUGGGGAGUGUCGUGCGAUACGGGCGGACUGGAGGCCAGUAGGGGGAUGCGGAAUUCCGGGUGUAGUGGUGGAAUGCGUAGAGAUUGGAAAGAACACCGAUGGCGAAGGCACUUUACUGGGCUAUUACUAACACUCAGAGACGAAAGCUAGGGUAGCAAAUGGG
rnacentral:rRNA from 1 species